UACGUAGGGCGCAAGCGUUGUCCGGAAUUAUUGGGCGUAAAGAGCUCGUAGGCGGCUUGUCACGUCGGAUGUGAAAGCCCGGGGCUUAACCCCGGGUCUGCAUUCGAUACGGGCAGGCUAGAGUUCGGUAGGGGAGACUGGAAUUCCUGGUGUAGCGGUGAAAUGACGCAGAUAUCGGAAGGAACAUCAGUGGCGAAAGCGACUUCCUGGACCAGUACCGACGUUCAGGCACGAAAGCGUGGGGAGCAAACAGG
rnacentral:rRNA from 1 species